rnacentral:rRNA from 1 species
CCUACGGGAGGCAGCAGUGAGGAAUAUUGGUCAAUGGGCGCGAGCCUGAACCAGCCAAGUCGCGUGAAGGAUGAAUGCCCUACGGGUUGUAAACUUCUUUUAUCAAGGAAUAAAGUGAGGCACGUGUGCCCUUUUGUGUGUACUUUAUGAAUAAGGAUCGGCUAACUCCGUGCCAGCAGCCGCGGUAAUACGGAGGAUCCGAGCGUUAUCCGGAUUUAUUGGGUUUAAAGGGGGCGUAGAUGGGUUGUUAUGUCAGUUGUGAAAGUUUGGUGAUCAACCGUAAAAUUGCAAUUGAUACUGGCAGUCGUGAGUACAGUUGAGGUAGGCGGAAUUCGUGGUGUAGCGGUGAAAUGCUUAGAUAUCACGAAGAACUCCGAUUGCGAAGGCAGCUUACUAAACUGCCACUGACAUUGAUGCUCGAAAGUGUGGGUAUCAAACAGGAUUAGAUACCCGUGUAGUC